UGAGUUUAGAGACCUUUUUGACACUCAUGACUGCGUCUGCCGCUCCCCCGCCCGCUAGCUAGUGGUAAUUUUCCCACCUAGCGGAGGUCUUCAGAAAUAUCUUCAGAAACGGUUGGUCUCCAGAUCGCUCUCCCGCCGUUCCCAUCUUAGGGCCUCUCCAGCCACCAAGGUAAGACACUUGUACCCUCAGUAGUUGGCUCUGCCUCUGACACCCCCUCCCCUCCAUCCCUCGGGCCAACUGCCAACGGCCUCCCAUCAACAGGUCGGCAGCACCUUGUCAAUGGCUUCCCGCCAACUAUCCUCUGUGCGUGGCCGAGGUCCUGGUCGUGGCCGAGGUCGUGGUCGUUGUGGCCGAGGUCGUGGCCGUGGCCCUGGCCGUGGCCGUGGGCGUGGCCGUGGUCGCAGUCAAAGUCGUGGUCGGGGUCGCGGCCGCCCUAGCCGCCAUCUUCAUGGUCGUUGGUGCAGCAGCCAGAGCCUGAGUCCCUGUGAGGCACCACCUAGUAUCGCAUAUGUCAUAGAGGGUGAUGAUUUGAUUCACUUGGACAAAGACAGCUGGGCGUAUGCCUCAGCCCUGGAGUGCCACCAGCAAACAGGUGACAGGGUGGAGGCAUGAUGUUCUGCAAAGUCAUCUGGGCACCAGGAAGAGAAGCCAGCAGUAGAGCAGGCAAAGGAAGAAGCAGAGCAGCAGGAAGAUGAGUUCAUAGUGCAGAUCACAGAUGUCAGAACAAUAAGUCAAUAUCAGUUCAACAACUGGAGUGAAGAUUUCGAAUAUGAGGAAGAGAAAGAAGCAGAAGAAAAACUAAAAACACUAAACAAGGAGUUGAAGGAUCUGAAAAGGACCUGGACCCAGCAGAUGGCAGCUCUUGAAACCCCAGGUUUAAGAAUAAAAAGAAGAUGAAAAAGAAGAAAGAAUCUGUUGUUCACUCUUUUUGAACUUAUCAGAAGCCCGUGGGAAAUUUUAAUACUGAUAACAUUUCAAAGUGCAUUGCCCCAAAAGUUAGCUAAAUAAUAUUCCCAAGUUCAUUACCCAAAAGUGAUGUCCAAUGAC
rnacentral:lncRNA from 1 species